GUCCUUGAAAAUUUUUGAUCAGGGAGUGACAUAUGUCAUGUUCAAAGCAUUUUUUAGGACAAUGAAUUUGGCAGUAGUAUGCAGAACAGAUGCUCAGAGAAAAGAAUCAUACAGAUAAAACAAUUGGAAGAUUCAAGCAGUAUUCCAGGCGUAAAGUUAUAAGAACUUGAACUAGGGUAGUGUUAAUAGGAAGAUAACAGAAGACAUGGCUGGAGACCAAGUGUUAAAGAGAAAACAAGAGUAACUGAAUAUGAACCAUGAGAAAGGAUAAGGCAGUGAGGAUGAUUUGAGAUUUGGGUCUGAGAAGCUGAAGCAAUUAGGAAGAGGAGCUGCUUGAGAGACCCAGAGCUGAAUUUCUUGACUUUUGAGACAUGUUAGUGGAAAUCCUGUCAAAGAGGUAACAGAGGCUACUGAAGAAAUUCAGGUCACCGAGACAAAAAGUAGAAAGAGAGUAUCAGGAAUGUUCCCACUCAAGGCCAAAUGGAGAAUGAAAGCAAUUACGAAAAUGGAAGGAUAUUUCCAGGACUGAAGAACGUCAACUAGCAGCUGUGGUUAAACAGUAUAGGAAGCAUAUAUACAGAUUUGUAUGGCAUUUUUCAGUACAUGGAGGGAUGAAUAUGUCUUGACUGACAUUAGAAUUGACUCCACCUAAAUAUUCAAUAAUAAUAGUUGCCAUCAAAAUAAACAGUUAAACCGGA